UGCGGCGGCACUAGCGCGGUGGUCCCACCUGACCCCAUGCCGAACUCAGAAGUGAAACGCCGUAGCGCCGAUGGUAGUGUGGGGUCUCCCCAUGUGAGAGUAGGGAACUGCCAGGC
rnacentral:rRNA from 1 species